AUGUAGCUCAAUAUCACAGCACCUGCCUGGCAAGCAUGAGGCCCUGAGUUUGAUUCCCAGCAU
rnacentral:tRNA from 1 species